UUGCGCUACCUGGUUGAUCCUGCCAGUAGUUAUAUGCUAACUUCUGAGACUAAGCCAUGCAUAUUCUUGUAUGGGUUUUUAACUGAAACAGUGGACGGCUCAUUAAAAAGGUAUUUAGCCCUUGCUUUCACUCGUAAUAGCGGAUUUGCUUGGGAAAUCUGAGCCUAAUACGUGUGGUUGUUCUAAGAAAAGCAAUAGCUUUUUGUUUUGAGGUGAUGCUUCAAAAAUUGAAAGAUAGACGCCUUGACUUUAGUAGUGUUUCUACAGUCUGAAAGGUGGAAUUCCUACCUAUCAGCGGGGCGCUGUGGUAGUUUCACAGCGGUGCUUCAACGGGUAACGGAGAAUUAGGGUUUGAUUCCGGAGAGGGAGCCUGAGAAAUGGCUGCUACAUCCACGGAUAGCAGCAGGCGCGCAACUUAUCCAAUCUUGUAAAAGGGAGGUAGUUAGGAGGAGUAGUGGGAGCAGCUUUUUAGCCGUUCACUGCAAUGGAGAGUCAGUGUUAAGGGUUCUGAGAAACAACUGGAGGGCAAGCCUGGUGCCAGCAGCCGCGGUAAUUCCAGCUUCAUUGGUGUAUAUUAACGUUGCUGCGCUUAAAAGGUUCGUAGUUUAUUGGCAUAGCGUUGUUAUUUGCUUCUUUGAAGUAGAUAUUGCGCCUUAUGAGAUUUGUUCUUUAGAGCCGUGAUUUAUUAAUGUUGCUUCAAAAUAGCUUUAGUUGUUGUUCGUCGCACGGUAUUGCUMUUCAUUCGACCUUGCGCUUUUGUUUUUUUAAAUUUAAGUUGUGGGAGUUCUUCUAAUGAUUAUGAGGGUUAAGGGAUGGAACCUGAACGUGGGUGUUAGAGGUGAAAUUCUUGUACCACCUAUUGUCGUACUGCUGCGGAAGCGUCUUCCAUCAAUAUGCUCGUUGAUCAAGAUUGAAAGUUGAGGGAUUGAAGACGAUCAGAUACCGUCGUAGUCUUUACUGUAAACUGUGCCGACUGCCAUUUGGUCUUUAUGGGAAGUACCACUCCGGCAAAAGAAAUUUAAGUUUUUUGGCUGUGGGGGGAGUAUGGUUGCAAGAGUGAAACUUAAAGAAAUUGACGGAAGGGCACCACAAGGAGUGGAGUUUGCGGCUUAAUUUGACUCAACGCGGGUAACCUUACCAGGUCACGCAAUAGGAAGGAUUGACAAGUUGGCAGACUUUUCUUGAUUCUAGAAAUGGUGGUGCAUGGCCGUUCUUAGUUGGUGGAUUACUCUGUCUGGUUUAUUCCGAUAACGAACGAGAUCGCUUUGGUGCCGAAGGGACUUUCACAUUUUUGUGGGAGAUCCAAGUGUAAAGACUCUGCAAUAAAUUGUAGGGAAGUAGCGGCAAUAACAGGUCUGUGAUGCCCUUAGAUGUCCUGGGCGGCCCGCGCACUACAAUGCGAAUAUCCGAAGGUUAUUGUUGUGAAAUCAAUGUCGGUCUCCUCUUAAUUGUUUGCAUGAUGGGAUAGACGAACGCAUUUUUGUCUUGAACGAGGAAUUCCUAGUAGCCCUGCUUCACAAGAGGGGGGCGAAUGCGUCCCUGCCCUUUGUACACACCGCCCGUCGCUCCUACCGAUGAACGUUUUGGCAAAAGCAGCUAGAUCUGCUAGUUGUGAUGACAAGCGACCCUGGCAGUUUGAGCCUUCACGCUUAGAGGAAGGAGAAGUCGUAACAAGGUUUCUGUAGGUGAACCUGCAGAAGGAUCA
rnacentral:rRNA from 1 species